rnacentral:rRNA from 1 species
AUUGAACGCUGGCGGCAGGCCUAACACAUGCAAGUCGAACGGUAACAGGAAGCAGCUUGCUGCUUUGCUGACGAGUGGCGGACGGGUGAGUAAUGUCUGGGAAACUGCCCGAUGGAGGGGGAUAACUACUGGAAACGGUAGCUAAUACCGCAUAACGUCGCAAGACCAAAGAGGGGGACCUUAGGGCCUCUUGCCAUCGGAUGUGCUCAGAUGGGAUUAGCUAGUAGGUGGGGUAACGGCUCACCUAGGCGACGAUCCCUAGCUGGUCUGAGAGGAUGACCAGCCACACUGGAACUGAGACACGGUCCAGACUCCUACGGGAGGCAGCAGUGGGGAAUAUUGCACAAUGGGCGCAAGCCUGAUGCAGCCAUGCCGCGUGUAUGAAGAAGGCCUUCGGGUUGUAAAGUACUUUCAGCGGGGAGGAAGGGAGUAAAGUUAAUACCUUUGCUCAUUGACGUUACCCGCAGAAGAAGCACCGGCUAACUCCGUG